rnacentral:rRNA from 1 species
AGAGUUUGAUCCUGGCUCAGAUUGAACGCUGGCGGCAUGCCUUACACAUGCAAGUCGAACGGCAGCACGGGAGCAAUCCUGGUGGCGAGUGGCGAACGGGUGAGUAAUAUAUCGGAACGUGCCCAGUAGUGGGGGAUAACUGCUCGAAAGAGCAGCUAAUACCGCAUACGACCUGAGGGUGAAAGGGGGGGGAUCGCAAGACCUCUCGCUAUUGGAGCGGCCGAUAUCAGAUUAGCUAGUUGGUGGGGUAAAGGCCUACCAAGGCAACGAUCUGUAGUUGGUCUGAGAGGACGACCAGCCACACUGGGACUGAGACACGGCCCAGACUCCUACGGGAGGCAGCAGUGGGGAAUUUUUGGACAAUGGGCGCAAGCCUGAUCCAGCAAUGCCGCGUGCAGGAAGAAGGCCUUCGGGUUGUAAACUGCUUUUGUCAGGGAAGAAAUCCUCUGGGUUAACACCUCGGGGGGAUGACGGUACCUGAAGAAUAAGCACCGGCUAACUACGUG